rnacentral:rRNA from 1 species
AACGCGAAGAACCUUACCUACUCUUGACAUCCUGCGAAUCUGGCUGAGAGGCUGGAGUGCCGAAAGGAGCGUAGAGACAGGUGCUGCAUGGCUGUCGUCAGCUCGUGUUGUGAGAUGUUGGGUUAAGUCCCGUAACGAGCGCAACCCUUAUCCUUAGUUACCAGCGAGUAAAGUCGGGGACUCUAAGGAGACUGCCGGUGAUGAAUCGGAGGAAGGUGGGGACGACGUCAAGUCAUCAUGGCCUUUAUGAGUAGGGCUACACACGUGCUACAAUGGGGCGUACAGAGGGUAGCCAACCCGCGAGGGGGAGCCAAUCCCGCAAAGCGUCUCGUAGUCCGGAUUGGAGUCUGCAACUCGACUCCAUGAAGUUGGAAUCGCUAGUAAUCGCGAAUCAGCAUUGUCGCGGUGAAUACGUUCCCGGGCCUUGUACACACCGAGACGAC